GACGAACGCUGGCGGCGUGCCUAAUACAUGCAAGUUGAGCGCUGAAGGUUGGUACUUGUACCAACUGGAUGAGCAGCGAACGGGUGAGUAACGCGUGGGGAAUCUGCCUUUGAGCGGGGGACAACAUUUGGAAACGAAUGCUAAUACCGCAUAAAAACUUUAAACACAAGUUUUAAGUUUGAAAGAUGCAAUUGCAUCACUCAAAGAUGAUCCCGCGUUGUAUUAGCUAGUUGGUGAGGUAAAGGCUCACCAAGGCGAUGAUACAUAGCCGACCUGAGAGGGUGAUCGGCCACAUUGGGACUGAGACACGGCCCAAACUCCUACGGGAGGCAGCAGUAGGGAAUCUUCGGCAAUGGACGAAAGUCUGACCGAGCAACGCCGCGUGAGUGAAGAAGGUUUUCGGAUCGUAAAACUCUGUUGGUGGAGAAGAACGUUGGUGAGAGUAGAAAGCUCAUCAAGUGACGGUAACUACCCAGAAAGGGACGGCUAACUACGUG
rnacentral:rRNA from 1 species